rnacentral:rRNA from 1 species
GACGUAGGGCGCGAGCGUUGUCCGGAUUUAUUGGGCGUAAAGAGCUCGUAGGCGGCUUGUCGCGUCGAAUGUGAAAACUCGGGGCUCAACUCCGAGCUUGCAUUCGAUACGGGCAGGCUAGAGUUCGGUAGGGGAGACUGGAAUUCCUGGUGUAGCGGUGAAAUGCGCAGAUAUCAGGAGGAACACCGGUGGCGAAGGCGGGUCUCUGGGCCGAUACUGACACUGAGGAGCGAAAGCGUGGGGAGCGAACAG